GGGAUUGCCUCAGUAACGGCGAGUGAAGCGGCAAAAGCUCAAAUUUGAAAUCUAGCACUUUCAGUGUUCGAGUUGUAAUUUGAAGAAGGUAACUUUGGUUUUGGCUCUUGUCUAUGUUCCUUGGAACAGGACGUCACAGAGGGUGAGAAUCCCGUGCGAUGAGAUGCCCAAUUCCAUGUAAAGUGCUUUCGAAGAGUCGAGUUGUUUGGGAAUGCAGCUCUAAGUGGGUGGUAAAUUCCAUCUAAAGCUAAAUAUUGGCGAGAGACCGAUAGCGAACAAGUACAGUGAUGGAAAGAUGAAAAGAACUUUGAAAAGAGAGUGAAAAAGUACGUGAAAUUGUUGAAAGGGAAGGGCUUGAGAUCAGACUUGGUAUUUUGCGUUCCCUUCCUUUUUGGUUGGGUUCCUCGCAGUUUACUGGGCCAGCAUCGGUUUGGAUGGUAGGAUAAUGACAUUGGAAUGUAGCUUUACUUCGGUGAAGUGUUAUAGACUUUGUUGAUACUGCCUAUCUAGACCGAGGACUGCGUCUUUGACUAGGAUGCUGGCGUAAUGAUCUUAAGCCGCCCGUCUUGAAACACGGACCUCCUGUGUGAG
rnacentral:rRNA from 1 species